GCCGUCGUAGACCGAGGAUAGGUCGCCCUUGUCCAGUGUCUAGUGACAUUUCCUCCAGCGAGGGAGACAGAGGUUCGAGUCCUCUCGAUGGCA